CCUACGGGAGGCAGCAGUGGGGAAUAUUGGACAAUGGGGGGAACCCUGAUCCAGCCAUGCCACGUGUGUGAAGAAGGCCCUCGGGUUGUAAAGCACUUUCAGUGAGGAAGAACGCCUGGUGGUUAAUACCCAUCAGGAAAGACAUCACUUACAGAAGAAGCACCGGCUAACUCCGUGCCAGCAGCCGCGGUAAUACGGAGGGUGCGAGCGUUAAUCGGAAUUACUGGGCGUAAAGCGCGCGUAGGUGGCUUGAUAAGCCGGUUGUGAAAGCCCCGGGCUCAACCUGGGAACGGCAUCCGGAACUGUCAAGCUAGAGUGCAGGAGAGGAAGGUAGAAUUCCCGGUGUAGCGGUGAAAUGCGUAGAGAUCGGGAGGAAUACCAGUGGCGAAGGCGGCCUUCUGGACUGACACUGACACUGAGGUGCGAAAGCGUGGGUAGCAAACAGGAUUAGAUACCCUAGUAGUC
rnacentral:rRNA from 1 species